ensembl:lncRNA
GGGGUGGGCUGCAUUCCUGGAAGGUGGAAGCAGCUGGAGGAAGUGAGUCACUUCUUGACUGUCUAAUCAGGGCUACAGUUAGGAGUGAGGUGGGUUUUAUUUUCAUUUCUCUUUUUAACAUGUUCCCACCUUAUCCUAAUUCUCAAAAAAGCUCUUGCCUAAGCUAUAAAAUAGGCUGACUUUUAGAAUCAUUGAAACUUGGAGAUUUCUGUGUGUUCAAGUCAGAAACACAUCUAAAGACUAAAAACAUAAAACAGGGAAGGAGGAAGGCUGCUCCCUGCUGCCAUUUCCACAAAGUAUUUGGAAGCAGGCCUGGGAAGAAUGCUGUGACGCCCACAACCUCGAGAUAAUUACAUAAAGGACUCUCAGACAGGGCGGCAAUUGGAUACCUUUCUUUCCUGAUUGUGAAUCAGAGUUUCCUUACUUCAUAGUAGCUUGUUGUGUGGUGUGUUCCAGACAGGGUCCAGCCCAGAUCUGCAGUUUGGAAGCAGACAGGACAGCCGUGUGGAGCGCAGGCUCUGGACUCCCGGGGAUUUGUUACUUGUCUUUCAUUUCAUUUUAAAACAGAAAGCUCUUCUUUAGCAUUCACCUUAAAGUUAAGAUGCUCUCGCACACCAUGGGAAGUUGCUCAGUUGAUGAGCAGUGCAAAUUAGACUUGAAUUACUUAAAAAGCUGGUGUGUCUAGAUCCCUCAAGUCGGAGCUGCAGCAGCAGCAGACAGGAAGUGAUCACUCGGAACAACUUCCUUUAGCCUCAGGCCAUCUAGACUUGGGCUUCCCUGGUGGCUCAGCUGGUGAAGAAUCCACCUGCGAUGCAGGAGACCCUUGUCCAAUUCCUGGGUCAGGAAGGUCCCCUGAAGAAGGAUAGGCUACCCACUCCAGUAUUUUUGGGCUUCCCUGGUGGCUCAGCUGGUUAACAAUCCUCCUGCAAUGCUGGGGACCUGGGUUCGAUCCCUGGGUUGGGAAGAUCCCCUGGAGAAGGGAAUGGCUAUCCACUCCAGUAUUCUGGCCUGGAGAUUUCCAUGGACUGUACAGUCCAUCGGGUCACAAAGAGUUGGACAGGACUGAGUGACUUUUGCAUUCUUUCACCUAGACUUGGUCUCUGGUUAUUUGUAAACAGAGAGUGGAACUCACUUCCAUUUCCAGAUAGGCUCGGGAAUUGACUUAGACAGCUUUGCCAUGUACUGACAUAUACGAAAGAGUUGGAAAUUUGUAUAUACUGAAAUCUACCAAUGUUUAUCUGGGGUGGG